GGGGAUGCAUUGGAUUUGACUGAUGCAUAUUUUGCAUAGUUGCAAGUAGGUUCACCAAAGCCUUAAUUUGGUAAAAAUAUAAAUGCCGAUCAAAAAGCAUUUAAGCCAGCAAUGGCUGCCGUCUUCGCUUAACUUAGUUAAGCCUAAGACAGACACCGGGAAUUUUUCUAGGAAAGUUUCCGUCUUAGUCUAAUAAAGCCUAGAUGAGGUGAUUUGGAAGUGGCCGUUUCAAUUUACCGAGAGCAAAAGCUCAAACAAAGGCCUGCAGAAAGCGUAAAGGGUUUUUCAAAACACCUGCUUUCUUAAGAUAUAGUUUUGGAUAAACUUGUAGAAAUUGUGUGAAAAUGUAUUAGAACGUGGGUUCAACUCCCGCCAUCCCUGCCA
rnacentral:tmRNA from 1 species